UGUGUAAGCGUAAGGUUUUCUAGUUAAGUGGUCCACAAAAUUCGGCAAGUCUAUAUAAGGAUGGCGGACGAGAAUGGCGAACAGUCGAUUUCUGAAAUUGCCGACGUCGAGACGUGGGGGCCAUCGCCGUGGCUAGCGCGAGUGCUGCUGUAAUAUUUUAAUGCCAAUUAAAGGGACACCAUGUAUCGGGUGGAAAAUAUUCGCUCGUUUGAUGUUUUGUCCCCCAACUGGUCGCUAAGACAACACCCUCGAUUUCCGACCGGAGAGCAGUGUAAUUAAAUACGGAGCCACUUGCCUCCUUAUUGUUGUAUCAUCCGCUUUCGCUUGAUCUUCCAAUUUAUUGCUCAUUUCGAUUGCGUAAUUGUCAGCAGCCCUUGGAAAAUAUUCGAGAGGAGUGUUUCACAUUAUUAUGCACCGGUCGAUAUUGCAUCAGUCAAGGACUCGAUAAAUGAUAAGGAAUGCAACCAAAUUGCAUCACUUUGAUUUUCCUCUUAUAAAUACGCGAAAAAAUCCAAACCAAUUCAGAUCAAACCAAGUCUCUGAGAAAAAACACGCAUCAAAAUGUUCAAGCUUCUGUUGUUGGCACUCAUGGUCCUGCUGGCCCUCGCCGCCGCCCACGCCGAGCCCGAGCCGCAGCCCAGCGGCAUCCUGGCCGCCCCCGGGAUCCUCGCCACCCCCGGCCUGGGUGGCGGUGCCGUCUUGGUGGGCUAAACGGUACGCCACUGCUUUCAUCACAAUUUUGAAAAUUUAGAAAUACACUAGAUUCAGCGCUGA